rnacentral:lncRNA from 1 species
UUGGCUCUUCGCUCAGGAGUGCUCAGGAGAGGAGGUUCUGCAGAGUUUCCCACGACCAGGGAAGCGGCAGUCCCUCCUGGGUGGCAGUUUGCUGUUCUGGGAAGAGAGAUGUGGGCUGAAGUGGGAGAAAGGGGGCUUUCCUCCCACGGGGUCAACUGUGAUGAAGAUGAAAGCCACAUUGUCACAGAUGCAUCUGGAUAGCUCAUCCUGAGCCCUGGUGACCGGUUCAGGAGAACUGCCUGCAGCCAAGAGUCCAAGCUGCCACUCACUAGGAGGAAGCACAGGAAAUGAGGCAGAUGGUGCUGGGUGGCUGCUGGCCUGAGAUGCUGGGAGUGGUCAGCCCUGGGCAAAGAAGCCGCGCCAGCCCUCCUUCACCUUUGGGCCCUGGGCACCCUUCCACAGGUGACCCAGCUCAGGACAGAGGCUGAGGGAGUUUCCUCCUGCCCGGGCAGUGGCCCCUAAGCAGGGUCCUGGCCUCCCCACCAUCACCGUGAGAGCCCAGUUACAGAUGGAGGAGACCCGGACUCCAGCAGCAUCAUGACAGGCCCAGCUAGUCAACACACACUUCUACACAUUCUGUGCAGCGGGAGUAUAUUUGAACAAGACUCGGAUAUCCAUGGGAGUGAUGGCAUCUUCUAGUCCUGUCCAUGUUGAAUACAUAAGGUUCAGGAGUCCACGCUUUUACCUCCAAGACUCAUGCGGACCUAAGGACUGGUGCUGAACCCUGGGCAGAGUUAGGAACCCUUCUAAUGCAACUAGAAUCUUUAAGAAAACAAAGGACUGAUUGCAUGUCUGCUGAAAGAUGCUUUCAGAGUUCUUGGCUGCGUGAGGGUUUCAUCAUUUUGCCCAUCAGUGUGGUUUAAAGGAGACCACUUAAUCCCAAGAGCAGUGUUUUCCAAAGCAUAUCCCAUUGUACACUGGUCUUGUAAAAUGAGAAAGUAAAGAUGAUUGUGUAGUCAAAAAGUUUAUGAAACACUGGAUACUAGAUCCUCAUCUGGGGAGAUUCACAGUGCACUUUGCAUAUUAGAGGGCCUGAGAAGUCCUGCAAUAAAGAAAUUUGUUUAACUCAGUGUGAUCUAAACAUGUUUCACAAAAGAAUCAUUUUUUGGUGACAGCGAUGGGUAUCCCUUGAUAGCAGUGUUACAUUGAGUGCCUUUGGGGAAAGCUGCCUUUAGAAAUGUGUGUGUGUGUGUGUGUGUGUGUGUGUGUGUGUGUGUGUGUGUGUGUGUCCCUUACCUGCAGAGCUUCCUGAGGCUUGGUCUAGGGGGAGGAACACUUCUCUACCUUCUGCCUCCCUGUCUUCCAGUUCCCAAGUCUUAAGCUGGCCAACACACCUGCCCAGGUACAGGUGUUCUUCCUUUCUCUGCUGGCUCUUUUUUCU